UAGGGAAUCUUCGGCAAUGGACGGAAGUCUGACCGAGCAACGCCGCGUGAGUGAAGAAGGUUUGCGGAUCGUAAAGCUCUGUUGUGAGAGAAGAACGUUGGUAGGAGUGGAAAAUCUACCAAGUGACGGUAACUAACCAGAAAGGGACGGCUAACUACGUGCCAGCAGCCGCGGUAAUACGUAGGUACCGAGCGUUGUCCGGAUUUAUUGGGCGUAAAGCGAGCGCAGGGGGUUCUGUAAGUCUGAAGUUAAAGGCAGUUGCUUACCCAAUGUACGCUUUGGAAACUGGAGGACUUGAGUGCAUAAGGGGACAGUGGAAUUCCAUGUUUAGCGGUCCAAUUCGUCGAUAUAUGGAGGAACACCGGUGGCGAAACCUGCUCUCUUGUCUGUCACUGCCGCUGAGGCUCGAACGCGUGGGGUCCACCCAGG
rnacentral:rRNA from 1 species